rnacentral:rRNA from 1 species
AUUGAACGCUGGCGGCAGGCCUAACACAUGCAAGUCGAGCGGCAGCGGGACCUUCGGGUUGCCGGCGAGCGGCGGACGGGUGAGUAAUGCCUAGGAAUCUGCCUGUUAGUGGGGGAUAACGCGGGGAAACUCGCGCUAAUACCGCAUACGUCCUACGGGAGAAAGCGGGGGCUCUUCGGACCUCGCGCUAACAGAUGAGCCUAGGUCGGAUUAGCUAGUUGGUGGGGUAAAGGCUCACCAAGGCGACGAUCCGUAACUGGUCUGAGAGGAUGAUCAGUCACACUGGAGCUGAGACACGGUCCAGACUCCUACGGGAGGCAGCAGUGGGGAAUAUUGGACAAUGGGCGAAAGCCUGAUCCAGCCAUGCCGCGUGUGUGAAGAAGGUCUUCGGAUUGUAAAGCACUUUAAGUCGGGAGGAAGGGCUGUAGGCUAAUACCUUGCAGUUUUGACGUUACCGACAGAAUAAGCACCGGCUAACUUCGUGCCAGCAGCCGCCGUAAGAC